CACUGUGUGCUACUAUUAUCAAUCGAACAGUCCGGUGAGUUCCUUGGAUCAAGCCGACGAGUCCGCUUAAGUGCGGCAGCGUUCCUCAUUGUCGUCGGCACGUUCUCUCAUGGCCCGGAAUGACGACCAAACCCGAUCGCUUAGAAGUAGUAAAAGUCGUAACAAAGUUUCCGUAUGUGAACCUACAGAAC
rnacentral:rRNA from 1 species